rnacentral:snRNA from 1 species
GUGCUUGCUUCGACAGCACAUAUACUAAAAUUGGAA